GACGAACGCUGGCGGCGUGCUUAACACAUGCAAGUCGAACGGAAAGGCCCUGCUUUUGUGGGGUGCUCGAGUGGCGAACGGGUGAGUAACACGUGAGUAACCUGCCCUUGACUUUGGGAUAACUUCAGGAAACGGGGGCUAAUACCGGAUAGGAGCUCCUGCUGCAUUGGGGGGGGGGGAAAGUGGCGGCGGUUGGGGAUGGACUCGCGGCUUAUCAGCUUGUUGGUGGGGGAGUGGCUUACCAAGGAUGUGAUGGGUAGCCGGCCUGGGAGGGUGACAGGGCACAGUGGCCCAGAGAUACGGGCCAGACGGCUACGGGAGGCAGCAGUGGAGAAUUGCGCCACAUGGGCCGAAGCGUGAUGGAGCGACUUCGCGUGCUGGAGGACGGUCUUCGGGUUGUAAACCGCGUUGGCCUGUGACGAAGUGUGAGUGACGUAAAUGGGUAAAGAACCACCGCUUAACUCGGG
rnacentral:rRNA from 1 species